GAUGAACGCUGGCGGCGUGCCUAAUACACGCAAGUCGAGCGAACAGACGAGGAGCUUGCUCCUCUGACGUUAGCGGCGGACGGGUGAGUAACACGUGGAUAACCUACCUAUAAGACUGGGAUAACUUCGGGAAACCGGAGCUAAUACCGGAUAAUAUAUUGAACCGCAUGGUUCAAUAGUGAAAGACGGUUUUGCUGUCACUUAUAGAUGGAUCCGCGCCGCAUUAGCUAGUUGGUAAGGUAACGGCUUACCAAGGCAACGAUGCGUAGCCGACCUGAGAGGGUGAUCGGCCACACGGGAACUGAGACACGGUCCAGACUCCUACGGGAGGCAGCAGUAGGGAAUCUUCCGCAAUGGGCGAAAGCUUGACGGAGCAACGCCGCGUGAGUGAUGAAGGUCUUCGGAUCGUAAAACUCUGUUAUUAGGGAAGAACAAAUGUGUAAGUAACUAUGCACGUCUUGACGGUACCUAAUCAGAAAGCCACGGCUAACUACGUG
rnacentral:rRNA from 1 species